rnacentral:misc_RNA from 1 species
AAGUCGUAACAAGGUUUCCGUAGGUGAACCUGCGGAAGGAUCAUUAACACGUGAUACUCACGUAUUAACUCAUACCGUGAAUUUGUUUCUUACCUAUUGUUGAUUGUAAAUAGACUGUAUGGGGGAUUGCUAUUGGUUAACUACCAUAACUUAUACAGUUGUUCUAGGUCCGCCCUGGAGUUUGCACCAGCAAAUAGAUGAUCAUCAGUGAUUGUUGAGCCUGUAGCAUGGCUUGGCAGCUCUGGUAAAAUUAUUAACCCCUUUCUAUUAUUUACUGAUUUGUAUGUUUGUAUGAAUUCCUGGUCUGAAAGGAUUGGUUGAGUUUAUAUAAAUGUCGUAUAUUACUAAUACGAAACAACUCUUAGCAACGGAUAUCUUGGUUCUC